rnacentral:misc_RNA from 1 species
UGUAUAUCUUCUGCUUUAUCACUGCCUUCAUUGUGCUAUCGUUUCUUGCUUUUCAUCUGCGUGCUCGAUGCCUUCGUUGACUGCGCCCUCAUGUGCCUCCUCCUCAUCCUCUGCGUGCGCUUGGCUGUGCGUGUGUGUGUGUGUGUUUGCGGCGACUCUUUGCUCCCUUGUUUUUCUUCUUUCCGGUUGACCACCCAACGGCUGAUGCAGUGCUCUGCAAGCAUACUCUCCUUGUCGAAGAAGGGGGUGGUGAACACGCAAGAGGGGCAUUGCACAAAAGGAGGAGAAAGCGACGACUGGCAGGAGAGAAGAAAGGAACGAGUCAGCGCCACAAGUGCGUCUUGCCUGUCUCUCCCCUCGAAGUCUGCCUCGCCUUACACAGAAACUCGCGCUUGCAUGCACUCGCACACACAUCCAAAGACGGCAGCUCUAUCAAACGCACUCCGCAUUUCAGUCGAGGCUUUUUUUCGCAGUCUCUCAGUUGCCUGCUGAGUGCCUGCCUGCGUGCCUUCGCAGGGACGGAGAUGAUGGGAUGUGCGUGAGUGCGCACGCGUUUCAAAUGCGCAUCCUUCCCGUUUUCGCGUCUCUGCCUAGCUCUUUCUCUCUUCGUUCACCACCGUGCGAUGGACCUCGACGCACACCACCACCGGCCUCACCGUUUCCUUUUUCGUCCCUCAUUUGUUGCUUGUGUGUGCUGCGCGUACAUGAGCCAGUGCACGUGCUUGCGUCGCUCUAAAGAGGAGCGUCUGUGUGCCGCUGUGCGCGCAUCGGUAGACCUGGUAUCGACACUGUUGCCGAGGGCAAGGGACGAGCGAAUGGUGGCGUGCGAGUGCAAGCAGAGGUUGACAGGAGAGGAUAAAGCAUCAUAAAGAGCAGCAGCAGUGAG